AGUACAUUAAUCUAUGGUAGUGCGCUCAAACAUGUGUUGGAAAUGUUAGAGGUUAGGAAUUACGUUGCGGUGGUUUGAUUGGUUUCUGUUUGUUCUAACAUUAAUUAUUUAGUUGGAAAUUUAUUUACCAGUUGUAGUAAAUUUUGGAGUAGCAAUGCCAUGCUAGUAGUGAAAUUUAUACGUUAUAAUGUAAAUUAUGAUACUUUAAACAAACUAUUUUGCAUUGAAAAUAUAUGACUUCCGAUGGAGAUUAAAAAAAAAAAACGUUAAAGUGAAAAAUAUGUUAUAAUGUGGUACGUUUUACCGGUAUUCUUCUGUACUUCAAAAAGGAUUCGCUGAAGUCUUGGAGUGGUGAUUUGAAUAUGUCUCCUAGGGGCUUAUGGACCGACUACUAAUUUCAAGAAGGGAUGCAUCCCGACGACCCCCUACUUUGGUUGUGCCCGUGUGCAAAGGUUUUGCAGAGGAAUACCAUUUAUACAUCUACAGCAGGGAGCAGUCGCAUCAAGACUGGAAUUCUUCUUGGUCCCACAUAUAAACUGCUUGAAUGAAGCCAUAAUUUUUUGACACAUGUCAAAAUGUCUAAAGCAGUAGAAAUGUUCUUUGAUGCCAGAGAAGCAACGAACAGUAGUUCAUGUUAAGCAAGGUCGUGGACAUCAACUGCUGCAAACUGUGAACUUAAAAACCAGAAGGAAGUCAGGAGGCGAAGCAAAUGAGCGAGAUGAGGUCCAAUCAAAUUCACCUCCACAAAAGGACGGAAAAUUCCAGAGACGGUGUUCCACUUGAGAUCGUUUGCCGCCACAACUGUGAAAGAAACAAGUCAACCAAAAGUGGACUUUAGUUUGGUCGUUGCAAUGCUAGCAGGAUGCGUGAACAGGUCCACUUGAAUGGAGACCUCCCCGACGCUGCCGUCGUCCAGGCUCAGCGUGUCUGCGAAGAACCACACAGUUCAGUCAGUGUCGCACAGUCAUGAAAACACACAAAUAAAUUUUUCGAACACCAAGGAAAUAUGCUGGAUAGGAAGUAUCCAAAAUCGUUUCAAAUUACAGAUAUAAUUAGUGCAUACAUGCCUAUACAAAAGCUAUGUAGUGGAGUAAAGUAAUGAUGUUAUUCAUAAAGCAUUUUCAUAAUGGAUAUUUUUUCCCUCAACCAUAUAAUACUGAAACUACCCUGGAAUACACUUUGUAAACUUUAAAUAGGCAUAAAAAUAAACAAUUGCUACUUUAAAAAUACUUAUAAUACCUCAAAGACAUUAACCAUUUUGUUGUUUCUCUUUUAUAUGACUAAUUCAGUGCUAUCUUUGAUAAAAGUUACAUGUUAAUUUCACAAUAUAUGUACAAUCAAACAAAAUAAAAGUUGAACUCCUAAUGUGUGUACAUAAGUAAAAGUACAAUUUUAUUUUUAGUUUGGGUUUAGCGUGUUGUCAACAACGAGGUCAGCAAAGGCAGUAACUCACAAGGACACUCACCACGGAUAUGCCAGGGCGUAUCGUAGGAAAACAUCUCAGUAUUAUUGGGAACCAUGUAAAACCUAAAGACGGAUGACCGGACUGGUAUUUGAAACCGGAAUGUCUUCCUGCUGCGCCCCUUCGCUCCAUGGUAAUGAUAGGGAAUCCAACUAGGUUUGGAACACUCCUGGCAUAUUUCAAAGUGAUUAUACAACACAAAACAUUAACUUCACGAUGUUAGUAAUAACACUAAAGUCUACCACCUUCAGAAUCUGCUAUAAGGUAAUUUAUUACCAUGUGUUAAAUAGCUCUUUCCCCCCUCACUGUCUCAUUCCCUCUUUCCGACCACAAAUUACACGGUAAAAAAUUGUCUGAAAAAAAAAUAAAAAAAUAAAAAAAAAUUCUUAACACAAGGGGUGUUCCCUUUCAUAAGUGUUAACACGUGUGCGUCUCUUUCACACUCACCAGUGAUGUGUAAUGAGCAAAACCAUGUGAUCUCAUGUUGCAAAUACACUUAAAAUAUGAAUCCUGGGCACAAAAUUUAAUUCAGAAUUCUUGGUAAAUUAAUGCGGAGUGUGAUAAAUAUACGCAAAUUGUGUUUUCAACUAUGUUUAUUGACGCGAAUCACACGUAGUUUCCGCACCCGCUGCUGGAAUUUGUUGCUGGAGCAGCUACGCCGAAUACUGAAUCAUUCAUUUUCCAGAGUGAAAUUCUAAAUUAAAUAAUGAAAUGGCUACAAUAAAAGGGAAAAAGAUUUGAAAAAAAUACUAAACCCCAGCUUUGGACUUGAUUUUCAACAAGAAAUUUUAUUACAAAUAAUAAACUUUGGUUCGUGCCAUCAGCACCGUGGUUACACAUUUCUGUUCCAUUUUACAUCCGUUUUAUUCACGAAAUUAAUCCUACCAAAUGCUGAACACCGAAAGCUAAGAUGUAACACAUUGAAAAGACCAUACUAAAAUUAGGACUACCAUGGAGCGAAGUGGGGAAGUAGUAAAACACUGGACUAACUUCAGGAGAAUGUCGGUUCAAAUUUCAGUCUAGGAAAACCAAUUUCCAUUUCCCAUGAUUUUCCAAAAACCUGCCUGACAAUUGUCGAGGAAAGCGCCUUAUUGUAGCCGGUAGUGUACUCAUUCAUCCUAAUUUAUAAUGUGUGUUUCCAAUAUUAAUAAUUUUAUAUAAGCAAAGUGAUGAGGUCAGUAUAAGAAACAGUACUACCACCACCACCACCACAGCUUCUACCUUUUCCUGAGGGAUUGGCAUCAUAAACUAAUUAAUUACCUUAUAGACACAAUUGACUAAUAUUUUAUGACACUUUUACUUUUAGAAGACAUCUGUGGGUAUCAGUUUAACAAAAAUUAUUGUCAGCACAAAAAAAUUUGCAAACUUAAAAAAAAUUAGUGAAUAUGCAUAGUAUUAUUGUCAUAUUCUUUCCGAGAUUUAUUUACUUAAAUUUUUUUGUAUAGUAGUUUUUAAUUUAAAUCAAAACUAACUUAUAUGCAUCCAUGUUAAUAUUUUAACUGAGGGUACUUUUUUUGGCACUCCUGCACCAAAUACUUUGAUUAGUUAACUCUCACUCACUCUCUCACUCACUCAGACAAGUGUCAGCUCAGGCCUUUAUCUUCUGCAUGACCCACAAAAAAAGUCACACUAAGAGUCCCUUCCUUUACCAAGCACAAAUAACCUGGUCAGAAAAAAAUAGGAACAUUCUUGGCAGCUACUGUGUUCCUGCACUGGAGUUUAAACAUGCCAGAAAAUAAAAUACAUGAAUGUUAAUAAAAUAAUAAUGAUUUAUUUUUACAUAAUAAAAAAUUCAAACAAACAAGCUAAACAUUUUUUUUUUAGUCCUACAUCAUAUCUAACUAUAUAUUAAAACUGAUCACUGUACAUUCUUUUUAAACCCACACGCCUGAAGUUUCUUCACGCCUACUGCAAUUAUUGCCUUACAUUAUUUGCUUUGUACUGUUCAUGAAUUUUUUUUUGCAGAUUCAAUUUUGAUUGCAAUGAAAAAUAAUUAUUUAUAUUUUCCUUCCACAAUUUGAAUAUUUAAUAAAAUUUUACCUGUAGUUAUUGUAGCUGACUUAACCUAACCAACAUUUCACUUUAAUAUUAUUUAUCUAAUUUCCCAAAAACCACUACACUAAAUAUUUACUUUUUUUCUAUAAGUUUUUAUUGUAUGUGAAUUUUUUUGUGUGUGUGAUUCUAAUUCUUAUUAUUUAAAUUAAAAAUUCAUAUUCCAGAAUAAUUUUAUAUUUGUAUUCAUUUCAAACUAAAAAAACUGAUAUUCGCACAAGCCUACUUUUAAUAAACUGUAUAAACAUAUAUUAUUCUGUCAUUGUAGUAUAGUACAGACUUAUUUCCCUGGAUAUUUUAGAGUAAAAACACAGGUAAGGAUUUAAAUUAGGAAUAGAUUACUUAAAUGCAUCAAUAACUGUACCUAAAAAAGUUAUUUCAUUACACACUAGAUGUAGUAGUACAUCAUUACUAUAAAUCAUUCAUUUGAGUAAUUUUUUUCUUGUAAUUCUACUCUGCAAUAUGCUAACAACUGUUGCAUGCUGUGACUUAAAUUGUGAAGGCAUUAUGUCUUAUGAAUAGUAGAUCUAUUUCACUUUAUGUUUAGUUUUAAUUAUUUUGUAUAAAACGUAAUCCUGACAUAAAAAAGAGUUCUAAGAAAAUCUUAUUACAAGUCCUGAAAAUGGUUUACCAUUCACUUGUAGAGACCAUAAUAAACUUAAUAAAGGAAAAAAUAAUAAUAUGCAAGAGGAAAAAAGUAGUUUUUAUAAUGCUCCUAUGAAUAAAUAUAUGAUUGUUUAGAUUUGAUUAGUACAAGAAAGAUAGUAAACAAAUAGAAUAUUCCCAAUAGCACACUAUGUAGUAAGUGUACUGUCAUUAGUCGAGGUGUUAAAAGUGUGCACUCUCUUGUACAAGAAAGAGGCCCAUGUGUACCAGGCUUUAAUAAAGGUACAUAACAAGAUAACUAAUCUUUUACACCACAUCUUUAUCAGGUGAAAAUUUUGUAACAUUGAAUAUAGCUUUAAGCAACAAACAAAAAUUAAUUUUACACCCAAGAAUUUAUCUCAAUAACAUAACUAUUUUUUUCAACCCUUAUGUUAACUAAGGUUCAAUGAUGAUGACUGAUUAAUACAGUCAAUCAACAAUCAUGCAAAAUCAUAAUUACAUCCCAUAACACUACUUACUUCAAAAACUCAUGCAAAAAAUGAUAUGAAUGCAUUCAUUACGAGUGAAACACUGUUUUCAAAUUUAUAUUUGGGUGUUCUUACCUUACUUUACAAUAAUUUUGCAAUAAUUACCAUUAAAUAUUUUAUGAAAUUGAGGAUACAUGAAGAGAAGCAAAAUUUUUGUAAAAGUUUUGAACAGUUUGAAGUUACCUGUGUGUACAUUUUGGAAUUAUUUGCAUGAUGUGUCAUUUAAGGCAUAAGUCAAACCUAGAAGCUGAAAAACUUUUAAAUAUAAAAUUAAAUAAAAAGAUUUUAAGCAGAAGCAAACAGACAGAAAGGUAAUUUUUUUACUCUAAAAAUAGGCUACAAAUACUUAAACGUAAUAUGUAUUAUGUAAUAUGUAAUAUGUAUUAUGUAUUAUGUAUUUUCAGGCCUCGUCUCCGAAAAAAGAGAUGACGUUGGGAAUGAAGACUAGGUUUUUUAAAAAAGGUUUCAAAUGAAAAAUAACCACAAACUACAUACCUACCAAGGCAUCAAUGCAAAAAAAAAUUAAAUACAUUUUCUUGUCUCUAAAAUAAGGCUAGCAGUAAACACACAAGCAGGCAACUCACUAAGUGGUUAUUCAAGAAUAUGCUAACUGCAUGAAUUUAAAACAAAAUUUCACAGAAUAAGCAAUUAUAAAGUGUACAGCAGAAACUUAAACAGGCACAGAGGUUAAAUAUUUUUUAAAAACUUAUUUAGGUUGUACUAAUUUUACAAGGAAAUUUAUGAAAUUUUAUGAAAAGACUCAUUAUUUCAAGUAGAAACAGUUAAUGGAAAAUUUGGCUUCACAAAUUUUUACUGUGAUACAGAAUACUGUAAGAUAAACAUAUUACUAAUGUAAUAAACUAAAAAAAAUCAUGGUAGUUAAUUCCUGCCAUGUAUUAGUACAAUGGACUGACUAUAUAAACUAUUUUUAAAUAACAAUGUAGGUCAAAAUUAAUUCUUGACGAAAGACAUUAGUUAAUAUUUUAAUACUUACUAAGAAAAAUAUAUUAUGAAUACUAAAAUUAUCUUUUCUGUUUGAAAAACCUUCUGAGCAUCCAUUUUUUACUAUUUCAGAGAAAUUUUGAAAUAUACUAAAUGUACAGGGUUUUAGAACUCAAGGCAAGUACCAAAUUUUACCGGUUUACCAGAGGUAAGUGUAUGUCAAAGGCUACACUUGGCAGAUUCCAAAGUUAUCUCAGAAUGCUACUCUUCAAUCUUCAGAAAAAAAGCUGGUAAGAGCGGUGUUGUGUUAGUAAAAGGCUCUACUGCAUAACGCGAGGAAUAUUUUAGUCCUUGAUUCAAUCAACUGUUGAAUGUAGCAACUGUCCAAGGGUGUACAGGUGAAGAAAGUCAAGGAACUCUCAAAAAGUCAUGGAACUUUAAUAAUACCAGCAGCCUUUUCCUUACUUAAAUUUUGUUUUUCAACAUCCCAAUUCAGUUUAUAGUCAUACAUUAAAUAUAAAUAGGUUGACUGUUCUUAUAAUGAAGAAAUAAUCAUUGAAAAAAGUUAUCUUUCUAACCUAAACAUAUGCAUAUUCCUGCAAUUAGUAGUUCUAUUUUGUAAUACAUUUGCCCGUUUUUAAUUUUGUUCAAUUUAUUUAUGUAAUAAUGACCAUAUGAUAAAAUACUGAAAAUGAUACACCAGGUCUUUGUAGACAUCUUGUGUCCAUAAUGAUUCUGGUAAACAGCACGUGUGGUACACAUAAAGUUGUUAUGUUUGUGGAAAAUCGUGGCAUAGGCCUCAGAAAUCUGAGCUCAGAAUUCAAUUUCAUGCUUCCAUACAAGUAAACUGAGCUGUAAAGUUUCAAGAGAAAGGUGGACAGAUGGGUCUUGUGCUUGUCAUGAAAGGACAAAUAGUGUUGAUGUUAAUCCAAACAUAACAUUAAAAUACAGCAGCAACAAAUAUGACACAUUUAAAGUUCAUGUUUACUAAAAGUUCUGGUCCCUACUUAAAAACUAACUCUUGAUGUAAUGAGGAUUUUGAAAUAUUUCUUGUGCAUUUUGUUUUACAUGAAUGGACCUGUUUCACCAUAGGAAAGUGAUACCCAUUUUGUAGCAUUCAUUUCAAUGCAGUGCUUUUAAUAUACUUUUUCUAAAUUACUAAAAAUAAUAAAUAUUAAUAAUAAAUGUAAGAGCUGCAUUGUAACGUACCUUAACUUUCACAGGUACAAUUAGCAAAACCUUCCUAAAUAAAAGUACUGUAUAAUAUAUUAAAAAAGUUUUCUUUGAUCUUGUUUGGCUGAUAAUUGUAACUACUACUACGUGUCUACUCAUUUCAAAUUUUACUCAUAAUUAUAUUCUCAGCAGAGUUGGCCAGUAAAAUAAAUCAUAGGUUUAAAAAUGGCAGUCAUUCAAAAUCAUUGAUAAAUAGAAAGGACAUUUUAUCUAAACACAAUUUAACUCAUGCAUCCAAAACUUGAAAUGUACCUGUACUAGAUAAUUAUCAUUAACUUUGCCUGGAGUAUAAUUAUUAAAGUAAAACAGCAUAUUUUACAUAGAUUAUAGGCUGCUGAUAUCAAAAAACUGACUUUAAGAAAAAUUACCACUAAAAAUGAAAUUUUUUUCGUGCAACACUAGAGUGGUGGAAAAAAAAAAAAAAAAAAAAACACCCACACACGCUUACUAAUGUUGCUAAAAGUCACCAGUGCAUUGCAGUGUUUGUACAAGUGCAAUUACCGUUUAUUUGGCAUUGUUUGAUUUUUAUUACAUUUUAAUUUUCUGUUUAGAAAUAAGCAGAAAUCAUUCCAAAAUGGUACUAAGUAAACUAUAUUAUUCAUUCCUUCUAAGGAUUGAAACGUGUGUGUAUAUAAAUGCAUUCUAAUUGCAGAAUCUACAUAAUGCGAGAAAAACUGUUGCGAUGGAUACUCUAUACGUGGAUAGCACUGCAAGUAGCAAAUCUGCAGCGUAAUGAGGUUUCCAGUGCAGCGGAGGAUAUUCGUUACCUUGCCGAGACUCUCGACGCUUCUUCGCUUUCAAGGGCUCUUCAAGCCCUUCCAUACCCUCCUCUUCGUCUCGCUCGACAGAGAUUGAGCGCUGCCUAAGGUUUGCUUUGUCGUUUAGGGGAACUUUUGGCACAUAAAUGAACAGGGAAAGGAUAGACAGAGAGAACAAAAUAACAGAAUCGACACAACAAACAUCACCAAGUUAUUAAAAAAAAAAAAUUCACACAGAAAGAAGCAUUCAGUCAUUAUAUGUACAGUAGUUUUUGUGAUAUCUUACACAUGCAUGAAACAUAACCUGACAUAACACAUAAUCAAACAUUUUUUUUGGUACAAACACAAGCACACUACACACACUAGCAUCAGAAGGAGGAUGUAAAGCCACCAGAAACAAGCAGAGCAGUGCACAGCCAUGUGGUUAUGUCAGUAGAAUACAAACAGAACAAUUUUUUUCUCAAUAUGCUUUUAAGUGCAUUCCAGCUGAUACUAACAUUUUUGGAAAUAAUUUCCGACAAGUCAUUCCUGUUGACAUAUGCACACAAUUCAACUCAAUAAUAGACUAUGUUACACCUGUCCCACAUUAGAACAAGUAGUUUCAUGUUUUCAAGUUUUUCCGACUAAAAGAAAAUGCUUAGAAAAAAUUUGAACAUGUUCAGAUCAGAUGAAAUGCAUUAUAUGUCAAUAACUAACAGGUAUGCAAUAGCGAUACAGUAAAACCCUCUUAAGAAAAACCCACUUAUGAAAUUUUCCUGCAUAAUAGAUUUAAAAAAAUUAGCUUUUGACCUAUAAAUAUAUACAUACAAUUCUACCCUUUUAAUACGUUUAAAUUUCUAAGCACCUUGAGAAACUUCUUAACAGGGAUUUAAUAUCUUAUGUCAGUACUGAGCACCCUGACCCAAGGAAACAAAAUAUUUUAUCGGGAUUAUAGAUGGCAGCACACAACUAUGAAGACACAGGUUAUUGGAUACGAAAUUGGCAAAGUCCUGUAGGAAUUAUCCUAGCAUUUGCCUGGAGUGAUUUCAAGAAAGCAUGGAAGACCAACACUGUCAAACCUCCUUAAUUAAAAACUGAAUGGACUAUAAUUUUGGCACUUUGUAAUAAUGGAGUUUGUAUAAACCAAACUAUAGCAAAUUUAGUCAGAUAAAUCAAAAUUUUACAUAAAUUCAAAAGAAAAUUACCGUAUUUACCCACAUAUGGGUCACAUAUUUUAUGCAAAUUUUUAGUGUAAAAAAAUUUACUGCCACUCAUAAACGAACUUUGGGUUAAAAAAAAAUUGUAUUGUGUGGUUGAAUAUGUGGGUAAAUAACUAAUCUAUGUUGCUUUUAAUAAAUACAACUCCACGAGUAAGUAUAAAUUGUUUAAUCAAACCAUCUCAGCAGUCGCAUAAAGCUCUAUGAACAGCACAGUUAUUGUAUGUGUGCAGUGUCUGCCGCCACACCGAUCACGUGUGUGAGGCCACAUGGCAGUGUUGACGGUUUUCCCUCCCUCUCUUCUUUGUAAAUGUCCCGUGAACUGGCACCAACACAAUUAACGUGUCUAUCAUGAGGCAACUGUGCCCAAUAAUUACAGCUUUUUGAAUAAAAUUUCCUACUCUUUCAACUGAACAUACCAUGACAAAACUGGAGUCAUCGCUGGUGUUUAUAAGAGCACUUUUAACACUCCAGCCUUGCAGAGUUUCUAUAGAAGGAACUGACAAAGAGUAGCUUGCCUCCUCCGGGGUAAAGGGAUAGGUAAAAAAAUAAAAUACAAUGGAGGAAAAGAAAUCCAGGUUAUAAAAAAUAGCAGUCUUCUCCUUAGUCUUGUUAGGAAGUGCGAGAAUUUGAUGAGGGGAGGGGAGAAGUGGCCCACCUCACACCCUCUCGUAGUAAUCAGAGAAAGAAGAGCAGAGGGUCAAUGCCAGUGUCAUAUUUCUUACGCACCAACAAACUGAGGAAAAGAUCACUUCACUUGUAUCCAUGGAAUUCUAGUGAAGACAAAUAUAAUGACCCUUACAAUGAAUAUGUUACGAUUUUUUUUUUUGCCAAAAACUAAGGGUGCGACCUAUAGGAAGGGGCGACCCUUCUGAAGGUAAAUACGGUAAAAUAAACUUAUAAUUACAACUAGAGAUAUCAUCAAUUUGGACGAAUGUCUACUUCCUAAGCUGUUUUCCCCAUCUUACAGUGAACCUUUGAGGCGGCAUCAGUACUGUUUUAGUUGAAACUUCAAAAUUUUUUUAUUUUUUUAUAAUUUUGUGAUGUUAGUAUAAACCAUUCUAUAAUUCAUGUAAUUGCUUCCCCAAGGCACAAAAAAAACAAAUUUGUAUUACAUAAUAACCAUAUUUUGAACUGAACAAACUGUUCAGCAGUGUAACUUUUAUGUGAUUUCUAGGGACUCUGAAAACACUCUGUAUCAACAGACUGAAGCCAAGCUAAAUCUAUGCAAGAUGUUUUGAAUAAAGCAUGUGUCGUCAAAGUAAACAAUACAACGAUAAGAGACAGUUCUAGGUGUCUGAGUAAUCAAAAAAAUAUAUUUGAUAUUCAUGAAUAAACUGAUAUUAAAUUUAUCAUUUCAAAUCAAAUAGCUUUUUUGAUGAUUUGAUAUCAAUAAAUAUAGCAAGUGUGAUUCAUUUUAAAAAUAUUUUUAUGAAAAGGGUGUAACUUUAAUGAAGCUAAGAACAUUAAUUGAGAAAUUUGGAUUUGUUUUCUGCCAAUACUAUAUAAACAAUUUUUACAUGCAACAAAUAAGCAGUGAAUUUAAUUAGAGAUUAUUAAAAAAAUACUAAAUUUUUAGGAAUAUAAGCAGUUUGGAUUAACAAAAUAAUUUCCAAACUUAAAAUUUACUGGUUUAAGAAAAUACAUAGCAAUUUUUUUUUUUUUUUUUUUGCAUUUUACAUCACACUAUUAUGGUUCCAUAUAUGUUUCUUUCUUUUUAGUUUUACUGUAUUUUGCAUAUUUUGUAUUAAUUUUUCUUGGACACAUGUGUGCAAUCUGAAAGUAAAAAAAAAAAUAUCCACUGUAUGUUUAAAUUUGAUCAGAAAAAUAUUCAAUACUUGUCAAUAAUUUGAUAUUUGAUUCGAAACUCAAAUCAAUUAAAAAUAAAAAUAUUGACUCGCAGAAGCCUAGACAACCCUAUUAAUCAUCAGCUCUAAGAGCGUAAUAGGACGGGGAGAGUCCACUCAGCACGGCUUCAUGGAAACGCCGGGGUGUCGGGAAUCGCACCCCACCCAGGACUGAGGACAGAGGAUAGACGUGACAGCAGCAGCGCACACUCACCCUCGUGCAUCUGCGACGUGACGAAGGUCUUGAUGAGCGUGUCGGUGGUCUGCGUGUACAGCGAGAGGGCGUAGCGGAGGGACUGCAGCUCGGGCGACUUCUCCAGGAAGGUCUUCUUGAGGCCGUUGCCGCCCGCGUGGAAGUACUGCUUGAUCGUGUCGAGAGCCACGUCCAGCACCGCGCACUGCUUCGGCGACAGGUUCUUCUCCACGUCUUUCGAGAUGUCCUGCCCGGGCAGUCGCGACACAGUUUUCGUUGACAGAACAGAAGAAAUAUCGAAUUGCUAAACCUACGUAUGAUAACUAAAAAUAGUCAUGUUGAAUCUUCAAACACUAAAAUACCAUUGAAUCUCUAGUAGGAUUUGAGAUUUGAGGAAUCUUCAUAUAUAUAAAUCCAGUGUCCUGAUGUUUGUUUCCAGUGAACUCAUCACCAAGUCAACCAAUUUCGACGAAAAUUGGCAUUUAUGUGUAAUUUUUUCCAACUUGAGAGAUAGGAUAGUUUUUUAUUUUGAUUAAUGGUCUUAAUAAUUUAUAAUUAAUAAUAAAUAACCGAUCACCAUGGGUGAACAAAAAAAUCACAGGUCAUAAACAUACAAACAGUAAUUGUGUGACAUUUCUCUAUGUCCAACACACUGUCAUAUAGCGCUAUCCCGUUUGCUUUAACUCGUAGACAAUAAAGCUCCAUGUGUUUAGCCCGGGCAACGCCAGGUAC